AUGGCGGAGACGGCAAUAACUGCGGUGCUUUCCAAGCUUGGUGAGCUAGCGGUGAGCGAGGCCAAGAUACUGCUUCAGGUCGGCGACGACAUCAUACUACUGCGCGACCGGCUGGAGUGGCUCCAAGCCUUCGUCCGUGACGCCGACCGGAAACGCCGGGCCGGCACCGACGGGUUAACCCGCGUGUGGGUGCGCCAGACUCGCGAUGUUGCCUUCGACGCCGAGGACGCGCUCGACGACUUCUUCCACGAGGAGGUCGUUGGUCUAAAAGGUCAUGGUUGUCGCCGACGGUGGAAAGCAUUGCGCAGAUACUUUACUGGUUUCUUUACAAAUAUCGUGGUCCGACAUGGGUUGUCCGAUCGAAUGAAAAUUAUCAGCAAUAGACUGGAGAAUAUCUCACUGAACCAAAAGGAAUACCAGAUUGUGCAUACACCGUCGGUGGUAUUGUCAUCUUCCACCACGGCCAUUGCAGCUUGGCGGGAUGAUCUGGAGAAUACUAAGGGGUUUGACUCUGACGCGAAGAUUCUUUUGGCCAUGUUGCACAAAGGAGGGACACCCAAGCCAAUGUUUUUCUCCAUAGUCGGCGAGAGUGGUGCCGGAAAGAGCACACUCGCUAGGGUCAUUCGUCGGAUGAUUCAUGAGACAACUGAUGUAAAAGUUGUAUGGUACAACAUGGAGCCCGGUUGCAGCGUGGAGAAUCUCCUUAAGGAGGUGCACCGACUUGCAAAACUGAAGCUCACAGCCCAUGAGCAAGCGGAUGCCCGUUCUGAUGAAAAUGGUGGCAAGCUAUAUCACGUCCUAAAUGGACGGAGUUUCCUGUUGAUUCUGGGCGGCAUAACCUCGAAAACCAUCCUGAAUAGCAUGAGGGCGAGCCUGCCAGUCAAUGGCUGCCAGGUGAUGCUCCUAUUGGACACUGAAAAUGAAGACAUCGCUUGGCAUGCUGAUUCCAUUAAUGGUGUUGGCUCCUACGGUGUAUAUAUGCUGACCCGGCAUCUAUUCUUUUGGAGGGUGUUGAGAAAACAAGCAGAAGAAAGCAACGACGACAAAGACGAUGAAGACGAAGACGACGAAGACGAAGAACAAGCUGAAAAACGAUAUUACGGAGGACUGGUACACGAAAUUACUGGGGGCUAUCCUAUGGCUAUAGUGCUUCUGGCCGGACUCCUCCGAUUCAAGGAGAAGCCACUCCAGUGGAAUGCGGUCUUGCAGCAGCUCAUGUAUGGAAAUAAUGGAACACAUCAAGUCCAGCGGGGUGCGGUGUUGCAGCAGCUCAGGUCUGAAAACAAUGGAACACAGGACGCCAGUGAAUGCUUGCCUAACACACAGAUAACUAACCUGAGCGGGGACACAAGAAGGGCGAUGGAGGUGGUCUUCUGGGCGAGCUUUGAAGACCUCCACAACGACCUCAGGUCGUGCUACCUCUACUUUGCCUCCUAUCCUACCAAUUCCUCUCACCCAGCCGACCAGCUCGUGCGGAUGUGGAUUGGGGAGGGUUUCAUCAAGGCGCGCAGAGGCAAGACCAUGGAGGAAGUGGGACAUGACUACCUCAAGGAACUAGUUUUGAGAUGCCUUGUUGAGGUGGAAGAGAUGAAAGCCAACGGUGGCAUCCAGCUCGUCAGAGUUCACAAGAGCCUCAUGGGUUUCUUGGAGUCGGAGGCGCGCGAGACUGGCUUCAUGGAGAUGCAUGAUAUACAUGACGUCGUUGUUCCACCAUCUGUGCGUCGUCUCUCCGUUCAGAGUGACAAUGGCAAAAGAUACAACAUCACCUUUGCCAGCAAAAAGUUCCCCAAGCUGCGUUCCUUCAUUUGCCGCAUCAACAUCAUCGAUGAUGAUAUUCGCAAAAAAGAAAAAACAUCAUCGAUGAUGUCGAUCAGAAUAAACAGCAGCAUGAUCUCGAGUUCCUCCUCUCAUCUAGGUUCCUUCGGAUAA
rnacentral:rRNA from 1 species